rnacentral:rRNA from 1 species
GAUGAACGCUGGCGGCGUGCCUAAUACAUGCGAGUCGAGCGAACGGACGAGAAGCUUGCUUCUCUGAUGUUAGCGGCGGACGGGUAAGUAACACGUGGAUAACCUACCUAUAAGACUGGGAUAACUUCGGGAAACCGGAGCUAGUACCGGAUAAUAUUUUGAACCGCAUGGUUCAAAAGUGAAAGACGGUCUUGCUGUCACUUAUAGAUGGAUCCGCGCUGCAUUAGCUAGUUGGUAAGGUAACGGCUUACCAAGGCAACGAUGCAUAGCCGACCUGAGAGGGUGAUCGGCCACACUGGAACUGAGACACGGUCCAGACUCCUACGGGAGGCAGCAGUAGGGAAUCUUCCGCAAUGGGCGAAAGCCUGACGGAGCAACGCCGCGUGAGUGAUGAAGGUCUUCGGAUCGUAAAACUCUGUUAUUAGGGAAGAACAUAUGUGUAAGUAACUGUGCACAUCUUGACGGUACCUAAUCAGAAAGCCACGGCUAACUACGUG